rnacentral:rRNA from 1 species
GACGAACGCUGGCGGCGUGCCUAAUACAUGCAAGUAGAACGCUGAAGGAGGAGCUUGCUUCUCUGGAUGAGUUGCGAACGGGUGAGUAACGCGUAGGUAACCUGCCUGGUAGCGGGGGAUAACUAUUGGAAACGAUAGCUAAUACCGCAUAAUAGCAGUUAUUGCAUGAUAACUGUUUGAAAGGUGCAAUUGCACCACUACCAGAUGGACCUGCGUUGUAUUAGCUAGUUGGUGGGGUAACGGCUCACCAAGGCGACGAUACAUAGCCGACCUGAGAGGGUGAUCGGCCACACUGGGACUGGGACACGGCCCAGACUCCUACGGGAGGCAGCAGUAGGGAAUCUUCGGCAAUGGACGGAAGUCUGACCGAGCAACGCCGCGUGAGUGAAGAAGGGUGUCGGAUCGGAAAGCUCUGUUGUAAGAGAAGAACGAGUGUGAGAGUGGAAAGUUCACACUGUGACGGUAUCUUACCAGAAAGGGACGGCUAACUACGUG